rnacentral:sRNA from 1 species
AAUUUUCAUAUUCGAUUCCGCCAUGUUGUCUACCAUCACAGAUGACGGUGAAAUGAAUUAAAAAGGGAAUUAUCUGAUUCUGUACGGUACUACCGGUUGAUAAGGUUAAAAACUACGUUGUCAAUGGGGUAUUCUUCUAUGGAGUGUUUUAGUGUGAAAAAUCCACGGCUGAACAGAGGAAGAAUCUGAAUGAAUGAAUCGAGUGUCGACACCCCCUGCAUCUUCUGUAUGAGCACUUCAAGCCUGCCCUGAGUUGCACAGACCUGAAGAAAACCAUGAAAAGCUCGCUGAUUUUAUGAAUGAUGCAACAAAAAAAUUGAAGACGUAAUUUAAGUAAUGGAGAAGUUAUACAUGCUGAAGUCUGGUUGUGUCCAUUUGGAUAUUAUUGUGAUGUUCUGGUAGUCAGCUGUUUGUGUGGUUUACAGUUUAUGUGUGAAAUCAGAGAGCAUGUGAGACACGAGACUGUCAAAGAAAGGACAUUUGGAAUGUUGGAGACGAAUGCCUCGAUCGAUUGUAAUGCAGCCAGUGUUCGUGCAGCACUUAUGAACUACUUUGUAUGGUUAAAUUGAACUUUGCCUACUGUGAACUGUGAUUUUUUUUCCAAGUCCGUCUGUGUGUUACACUGCUUUGUGUGAUCAAACUGCAAUACAAGUUUCAACAUGCCAGCAUUUAUUAUUGGUAAACUUUCUAAAGAUUUAUGUAAAUGUAAUGUUAAACAAUGUAUGAAAUUGUAUUUUUAAAAUGACUGAUGUAAAUAUAUAUUGAUGAUUUUAAUUUC